rnacentral:rRNA from 1 species
CUACGGGACGCAGCAGUGGGGAAUCUUAGACAAUGGGCGCAAGCCUGAUCUAGCCAUGCCGCAUGAGUGACGAAGGCCUUAGGGUCGUAAAGCUCUUUCGCUGGGGAAGAUAAUGACGGUACCCAGUAAAGAAACCCCGACUAACUCCGUGCCAGCAGCCGCGGUAAUACGGAGGGGGUUAGCGUUGUUCGGAAUUACUGGGCGUAAAGCGCGCGUAGGCGGAUCAGAAAGUUGGGGGUGAAAUCCCGGGGCUCAACCCCGGAACUGCCUUCAAAACUCCUGGUCUUGAGUUCGAGAGAGGUGAGUGGAAUUCCGAGUGUAGAGGUGAAAUUCGUAGAUAUUCGGAGGAACACCAGUGGCGAAGGCGGCUCACUGGCUCGAUACUGACGCUGAGGUGCGAAAGCGUGGGGAGCAAACAGGAUUAGAUACCCCUGUAGUC